AUGCUUACAUGUAUCCACCCUCACAUGUGUUCCCUGCCCCACGCUCACGUGUAUUCAUGCUCACUGUCUCACGUGUGCUCCCUGCCCAUGCUUACACAUAUUCACACUCACACACGUGCUCCCUGCCUCAUGCUUACAUGUAUUCACCCUCACAUGUGCUCCCUGCCCCAUGCUUACAUGUAUCCACCCUCACAUGCGUUCUCCCCGCCCCACACUCAUGUGUAUCCACGCUCCCUGCCCCACGCUUAUAUAUAUCCACUCUCACACAUGUGCUCCCUGCCUCAUGCUUACAUGUAUCCACCCUCACAUGUGUUCCCUGCCCCAUGCUUACAUGUAUCCACCCUCACACACAUGCACCCUGCCCCACACUCAUGUGUAUCCACACUUUCUCACGCGUGCUCCCUGCAUUGUGCUCACGUGUAUCCAUGCUCACUCACGAGUGCUCCCUGCCCCACGCUCACACGUAUCCACACACGUGUGCUCCCUGCCCCACACUCACGUGUAUCACACUCUCACGUGUGCUCCUGCCCCACGCUCAUGCAUAUCACGCUCUCACAUGCGUGCUCCCUGCGUUGUGCUCACUCAUGUGUGCUCCCUGCGUUGUGCUCACGUGUAUCUGUGCUCACUCUCACGCGUGCUCCCUGCAUUGUGGUCACGUGUAUCCGCGCUCACUCUCACGCGUGCUCCCUGCGUUGUGCUCACUCUCUCAUGUGUGUUCCCUGCGUUGUGCUCACUCUCCUCAUGUGUGUUCCCUGCGUUGUGCUCACUCUCUCAUGUGUGUUCCCUGAGUUGUGCUCACUCUCUCAUGUGUGUUCCCUGCGUUGUGCUCACGUGUAUCCGCGCUCACUCUCACGCGUGCUCCUUGCGUUGUGCUCACGUGUAUCUGUGCUCACUUUCACGCGUGCUCCCUGCAUUGUGCUCACGUGUAUCCGCGCUCACUCUCACUCGUGCUCCCUGCGCCACACUCACUCUCACACGCCUGCUCCCCUGCACACUCCUGUCUGA
rnacentral:lncRNA from 13 species